UUGAAUGCGGAAUCUAGUUUUUUCUUGCUCGCUGCCGACUGUGGGUGUUCUGGGCGGAUGCGUGUUCUGCUUGCGGCCCUUCAUAUUGUUCUUUUCUGGGAGUUUGAGUGACGCUCCGUCGCAAUCUGGUUGCGGAAGUGAAGCGCUUUCGUUCGUUACCUGCCCAUCGGCAGGUGGCGUUUAGAUUUGUGGGACUACCAAUCGUCCGGGUCAACGUUACCAGAAUAGCGGACGCCGGACAGGAACCACCCGGCCGUUAUCGGGAGCAGGUGCUUCUCACUGGCUUGAAGUCAGUGAGCGUGCGGACAUGUUGGUGCCUGGAGUGGUGAAUGGAUGUCCAGAAAACGCUGUGAUUGAUACAGGAUCCGCCGCUACAUUGUUGUCAGAGGAUUUUGCCGACCGCCUACCUAAGGAGCUGGAAAAGGAAACCUCUGACCAAGGCCCGAGGUUAAUUGGUGCCAACGGACAACCACCGCCGCCCGAGACGAGGAGGACAUCGCUCGGGUAUUUGACAGUGCUCAGCCAGUUGGCGCGAUGAAAAGGCGAACCCCGCGUUCCCGCCAUCCGCCCCAGCUGUUUGGGAGUCCUGUGUGGAACGAGUAAGUGACUUCAGUGGUACUGACUGGAUUGGUUGUGUUCGAUAUUACAGUUAGUUUUGGAACAAUGUUGGUAGGGACUCCAAUUUGACCUGCACUCGUUUAGUUAAAAUUGUUACCCAUACUUUUAGUCUAAUUUAUAAAGUUACUUAUAACGCGAGGACGUGUUCUUUUCCAUGUAAGCGGGGAUAUGUCAUAUCCAUACUAUUGACACAUGCCUUUUAGGCCUCUACGUGACAAGUCUGCCUUUAUUUAGGUGUCUAGUUAUUUAUUUAUAUCCCGUAAACGGAUUCAUAAUCGCUUUUAUUUUAUGUCUUCACACAAAGCCUGGCGCCUUCCUUAUUUGGUAUACCCUGUUUUUCCUUACCUGGCUCCUGCUCUUUGUGAUACAGUUUAUACACAUUAUUGCUAAGUUUUGGUACACUGCGGCAUGCGGGUGUACUAUGGUUCA